rnacentral:rRNA from 1 species
AUUGAACGCUGGCGGCAUGCUUUACACAUGCAAGUCGAACGGUACCAGGUUAAGCUGACGAGUGGCGAACGGGUGAGUAAUGCAUCGGAACGUGCCCGAGCGUGGGGGAUAACGCAGCGAAAGCAGCGAUAAUACCGCAUACGAUCUGAGGAUGAAAGCGGGGGACGGUAAGGCCUCGCGCGAUCGGAGCGGCCGCUGUCGGUUCAGGUGGUUGGUGGGGUAAAGUCACACCAAGCCGACGAUCUGUAGCUGGUCUGAGAGGACGACCAGCCCCACCGGGACUGAGACACGGCCCAGACUCGCACGGGAGGCAGCAGUAGGGAAUUUUGGACAAUGGGCGAAAUCCUGAUCCAGCAAUGCCGCGUGCAGGAAGAAGGACUUCGGGUUGUAAACUGCUUUUGUACGGAGAGAACAGGUCCUUUAUAAAACAAGGAGCUCAUGACGGUACCGUACGAAUAAGCACCGGCUAACUACGUGCCAGCCGCCGCCGUAA